CAAAUCCUCCUCCAGACAGAAGGUCAGCACUUACAUGAGCUCCCCUCCUGCUUCUCUCAAGCUGCUUUGUUCAGUCACAUGGUAGCAACUAUGAAGUAAAGAGCCCUGAGCUCAGCCUAUUCCACUCAACAUGGGAGCUUAUUACCUUCUCUAAGGUAAACGAAUCAAGCUUCCAUCUCUUUUUUGGAAGAAAAGUUGUGGGGUUUCUUCUUGAAGUAACACCGUGAAAUAAGAGACCACACAAGAAAAAUAUGUAACAAAGGGCCAUUUAUUGACCAAUUCAAACUGCAAUCCUGCGCAGUAAAACUAACCUGGAGGGAGAAAAAAAGAAAUAGGUCAUGACAAAGGAAC
rnacentral:lncRNA from 11 species